AGUGAACGCUGGCGGUAGGCCUAACACAUGCAAGUCGAACGGCAGCACAGAGGAGCUUGCUCCUUGGGUGGCGAGUGGCGGACGGGUGAGGAAUACAUCGGAAUCUACUCUGUCGUGGGGGAUAACGUAGGGAAACUUACGCUAAUACCGCAUACGACCUACGGGUGAAAGCAGGGGACCUUCGGGCCCUGCGCGAUUGAAUGAGCCGAUGUCGGAUUAGCUAGUUGGCGGGGUAAAGGCCCACCAAGGCGACGAUCCGUAGCUGGCCUGAGAGGAUGAUCAGCCACACGGGAACUGAGACACGGCCCAGACUCCUACGGGAGGCAGCAGUGGGGAAUAUUGGACAAGGGGCGCAAGCCUGAUCCAGCCAUACCGCGUGGGGGAAGAAGGCCUUCGGGUUGUAAAGCCCUUUUGUUGGGAAAGAAAUCCAGCUGGCUAAUACCCGGUUGGGAUGACGGUACCCAAAGAAUAAGCACCGGCUAACUUCGUGCCAGCCGCCGCGGUAA
rnacentral:rRNA from 1 species